UCCGAGCCUGCCGUACUACCCUACCUUUGUAAACCCCACGCUUACUCUUCACCUUUGGUUACUCUUCGCCCCGAUUCGUUUUCGUCCAGACCUCUGAGGCAACUCGGCCUCAGACAGUCUACAUCAUUACUAAUUUCGCCCACUUUUCGUCGUCAACACCCUGGAGCAGCCGGACCAACGGGGUCCGGCAUCGGCUUCUGUCAAUUUUUCCUGCCCACGAUCCUACUGAUGUGUCAUCUGCAGGAAAGUUCAACAGCUUUUUUCUUUUUCUCGUUUUUCUUUUUUUUCGUUCCGAAGUGUGGAGGGGGUGUAACGGGUCAAAUGUGUAGGGGGUAAAAUAACGGCUAAACCACGAACUUUAAACAGCUAAACAUAAGCUGUUGAGUAAGCCUAGUCGCGACACUAAACUGACGUCGUACCUAACCUCAAAUUCCAAGACCGCAGACGACGUUGGUGUCAGUUUGGUUGUUUGGCUGUUCGACUGCGUCUGAGGCCGGGCUACGGGAGAGAAGAUGAGCAGCGGGGUCACCUUUGAGCGGUACGCGGCUGUAAGCCUGUUAAAGCUGCCAUGCGCCUGCCUUCGCUGCCAGUUUUUUUUUGUUUCUGUAACUCGUUGACCAAUCAGGAAUCGUUUUAACUUUCGUCUCCAUUCUGAGACGAAGGUGAAGUAAGAAGAAGUUUUGUGAAGUUUGGUUCAUUCGUAUUCCCGGCUUUUGUUGAGGCAUUCGCUAAUUAUUCGUCCUUUCGUCUUCGAUUUGAAGAGUUUUCGUGCUACUACCUCGUCGUAAAAGUCACAGUAAGUUCUGUGGUGCAUCGAGUGCGCGAAAAAUCGUUUUUUACAGUAUUACUACUUCGUUUGUUUGAAAUAAUGAUACCUGAGGCUAAAGUAGGGCUAAUAAUUGGAAAAGGUGGAGAUACAAUUAAAAAACUAGAAGUCUGGAACAAAAAUGAUAGUUGUUAAAGAUGGCCCAUCACACGAAAGAGAAAAACGUCUAAGAGUUAAUGGAGAACCGGAACGAGUGGAGUAUGCCAUAACUUUAAUCUAUGAACUCAUGGCUCAGAAUGAAAUACAGGUAAUAUUAGAAUUAAACCAGCUACAGUGAUCUAAACCAGCUAAGUGCCGACGCAGAAUGCCUUCUGUUUUAUGCAAAGGAGUGGUUCAGCCAGAAUCUACUCAAAAUAAACGACGACAAAACACAAACACUGCUAUGUCACACUCAAGCCAAACUACUUGGGCGAGGAAGCCGUCAAACUCUUGGGAUUCUGGAUUGACUCCAAGUUAAGUUGGAAACAACACAUUAGCCAGGUAUGUGUUAAGCUUGCUAGAGUAGUAUUUCUUCUGAGGAAACUGACAUUGGUAAUAUCUAAGCCUUACUUAGUGACGGUAUACCAUGCUCUUUUUCAAAGCCACGUGAGCUAUGGCAUUGCACUCUGGGGUCAUACAGCUGCAGCACAUGACAUCUUGCUCCUUCAGAAGAUGGCUCUGAGGGUGAUAACGUCCGCCGGAUACCGUGACCACUGUAGGCCUAUCUUUAGGGAUUUAAAGAUUCUGACCGUCUACAGUCAAUACAUCCUCAAUAGCCUGGUAUUACUUAAGGAAAACUCAGCAACACUUGUUCGACGUGAGGACCAACACUCAUACCAGACACGGCAUGCCCAUUUACUUGACCUGCCUAGAUGCCGUCUUGCCUGGACCCAAAAGGGCUACCCUUACUAUACCAGCAAGCUCUACAACACACUCCCAUCUGAAGUGCGUGAGUUAGACGUGAAAGCUUUUAGAGACAAACUGAAGGACUAUUUGGUGCGCAGACCUCUCUAUUCGUUGACUGAGCUAGAGGACACACCACUUUUUGGCAACCCGCCGCCAUCUUAAGUUUUAUUACCUUUCUUUUUUAGUUAUAAGUUUGACGCAAUCUAUUCCGACAUUGUCGGUCACCGAUGCAGUGCUCAAGUAUCAAGUAUCAAGUAAGAAGCAAAUCGCCGAAUUCUUCGAAGUACUCCGAACCUGGAUAUUUCCUAUUUCGAAAAGCUACCACCAUUAAAAAGAACAUCUAGGAAGCAAAAGAAGGAUGACCAAAUUGAAAAUGAUGCUUGUGAUGGCCCUUCAAAAAAAACGGCAUUCCAAUUCAGCAAACAAACGACAAUUGAAUUAAUGGUACCUGGCCCUAAAGUGGGACUUAUAAUUGGAAAAGGUGGUGAGACUAUACACCGACUACAAGAAGUCUGGAGCAAAAUUGUUAGUUAUUAAAGAUGGGUCUUCACAGGAAAAGGAAAAUGUCUAAAAAUAACUGGAGACCCACUUAGCGUGGAGAAUGCUAAAUUAUUAGUCUUUGAACUCAUCGCUGAGAAUGAAAUACAGUUCUGCAGGUCAGGACAUAUCUGAGGACGUAGCAGACAGCCCCGUGCCCCCCGAAGCCGAAGAGGUUAUCACUUAAAUGGUAGUUUGUUUUUAUUUACCCUCAGUUAAUUUGUGAAGAAUUAGUUUUGUGUAUUGUGACUGUGUUCAUUAUUGUCUCAUCCUAAAUUAAAAUGUUAUGUGUUUGUUAGUAAAUGUUUGUUUGUGUUUGGUCUUAUUCUAUAUUUUUAUUUUGUACUGCUGUUUUAUUAUUUGUAAAUAUUAUCAUGAUUGAAAUGUA